rnacentral:lncRNA from 1 species
CAAGUACAAUACAUAGAAUAACCUAAGGAAAAUUUGAUCAAACUAUAAACUAUGUCAAACCCCUCAUCCUGUGGAAACAGUGUGAUUGAUCCAAGAGGAUCGCUGAACUCAAUAUGGAUUAUUUUGACCACUACAAAAAGAACUGAAAAUGGUCUAAAAGUGAGAUUCGCUAAGUCAUGGAGCCAAAAAUGUGUCAAACUUCUGAAGGCCAUAACUUGGUCGUAUGACGCUCAAUUGAGAUUAGAGCUAAUUAUGGGCUGAACCUCAGGCCUAAGCUCUAUUCAUUUUUAAUUAGUCUUCAAGCAGGACCUAUGUAAAAUUUAACAUUUUCUGUGCCCAAGCCUGACCAUGAUCAGCUUAGUUGAGAUCAUUUUUUUUUUGAAAUCAGAUAAUUUUUCGAGCUCUACAAUAUUACACCUCCUUCCUAAAAGAUACAGUGCACCGACCGAUAAGGAUUAAAUUCCAUCAUUUAGGCUUCAAAAAGGACUGGUUAAAUAAAAAAAUUUCUUUUCAAGAAAAAAUUUGACCAAACAUAUCUUUCAAUCUGAGAAAAAAUAGAUAGAGCAAUUGAAGAUAAAGUUGAUGUACAAUUAGAGAUCUACCUUCUAUAAAAUUUUAACUUCUUCAUAAUUAUAUCCACUAGUCAUAUCUAUAUUAGAAAUAUUGUCUCCUUCCUAGCAUAACUAGAGGUUAUGCAUCAUU